UACGUAUGGGGCAAGCGUUAUCCGGAUUUACUGGGUGUAAAGGGAGCGUAGACGGCCAUGCAAGCCUGGAGUGAAAGCCCGGGGCCCAACCCCGGGACUGCUCUGGGAACUGUGCGGCUGGAGUGCGGGAGGGGCAGGCGGAAUUCCUGGUGUAGCGGUGAAAUGCGUAGAUAUCAGGAGGAACACCGGCGGCGAAGGCGGCCUGCUGGACCGCGACUGACGUUGAGGCUCGAAAGCGUGGGGAGCAAACAGG
rnacentral:rRNA from 1 species